GAACUAACGAAGGCAAGGCUCCCGGGCUUUGCCAGUGGGGCAUCUGGCUGAAAAAUCUGUGGAUGAAUCAGCACGAGCGCAUGCUCAGUGUUAAAGCGGUGUGUUGUAGAGGCUCUCCCUGACGGUGUCAUGUGAAAAGAUCACUCUUUCCCCCCUGAGAUCUUGAUGUAGAGCAAACAUGAAGAAAAGAAACAAGAUAAUGAAGAAAGUUGGGGCAUGUUAAUGUUAACUCAACUGCAAAAGGGUCUGACUUUAAUACACAUCUCACAGAGCCUGGAGGCUGUGUCUGUGUCUCGUGGGUUAGGAGAAGGAAACCAGACUGCUUGGCAGACAGAAAAGGCCAAGCUGGUGGCUGCUGAGGUGAUGUGACUUGAGAGGAUGCUGGAAUACACUCUCUGGAAGCUAAAUUGGAGGAGAUUGCAGGAAUGAUGAGACCCUAAAAGAUGUUCCUUGCCACCACCAGGCAAACCUGGUUCCAGACUGAAAAAGGAAAAAGAAAAAGAAAAAAGAAAAGAAAUAAAAUGGCAA